rnacentral:lncRNA from 1 species
UUUGCUAAGUGCCAUGCCUUCACAUCGAGCAUGGCCCCAUUCUCCUUCAGGAAAAUUGGCCCAGGACCUUCCCUUCUCCAUCUAAGAAACAGAAGACAAAAUCCUUGUUGAUUUGGGAAGCCUCUUUGACGCCCAGGAUUCUAACUCUUCGAUUCAACCCUUCGAAGGUCCAGGUUACUUUGAUAACCUACCAACCCAACCAUGUUGCUCGACA